rnacentral:rRNA from 1 species
GACGAGGAGCUUGCUCCUCUGACGUUAGCGGCGGACGGGUGAGUAACACGUGGAUAACCUACCUAUAAGACUGGGAUAACUUCGGGAAACCGGAGCUAAUACCGGAUAAUAUAUUGAACCGCAUGGUUCAAUAGUGAAAGACGGUUUUGCUGUCACUUAUAGAUGGAUCCGCGCCGCAUUAGCUAGUUGGUAAGGUAACGGCUUACCAAGGCAACGAUGCGUAGCCGACCUGAGAGGGUGAUCGGCCACACUGGAACUGAGACACGGUCCAGACUCCUACGGGAGGCAGCAGUAGGGAAUCUUCCGCAAUGGGCGAAAGCCUGACGGAGCAACGCCGCGUGAGUGAUGAAGGUCUUCGGAUCGUAAAACUCUGUUAUUAGGGAAGAACAAAUGUGUAAGUAACUAUGCACGUCUUGACGGUACCUAAUCAGAAAGCCACGGCUAACUACGUGCCAGCAGCCGCGGUAAUACGUAGGUGGCAAGCGUUAUCCGGAAUUAUUGGGCGUAAAGCGCGCGUAGGCGGUUUUUUAAGUCUGAUGUGAAAGCCCACGGCUCAACCGUGGAGGGUCAUUGGAAACUGGAAAACUUGAGUGCAGAAGAGGAAAGUGGAAUUCCAUGUGUAGCGGUGAAAUGCGCAGAGAUAUGGAGGAACACCAGUGGCGAAGGCGACUUUCUGGUCUGUAACUGACGCUGAUGUGCGAAAGCGUGGGGAUCAAACAGGAUUAGAUACCCUGGUAGUCCACGCCGUAAACGAUGAGUGCUAAGUGUUAGGGGGUUUCCGCCCCUUAGUGCUGCAGCUAACGCAUUAAGCACUCCGCCUGGGGAGUACGACCGCAAGGUUGAAACUCAAAGGAAUUGACGGGGA